ensembl:ncRNA lncRNA:CR45031 long non-coding RNA:CR45031
AACGGAUGGCUGUUGAUGAUGGGUCACAGGCGUCUGCAAAUUUGCUUUGGCCAACGGACUAACUGCGAAUCAAUACGAAAUGAAAACCAAAUAAGCGACGUCCUGACAUCCUGCCCGUGCCCCAUGUCCCUGAUCAAACACAAGGCCAUCACCUCAAGCUGGCUUGCUUCGAUACCCGAUAAGUUUCGCUAUCAUGUCGGGUAAAAUUCAUAACCAUGUCUAUGACAGACAUUGAGCAUAUUAUCUGAUGUUGUCUGGGUGGCUGGUGGCGGUGGCAAAUUCAUUAUUUCAUCAAUAAAACAACACAGCAAUCAAU